CCUACGGGUGGCUGCAGUGGGGAAUAUUGGACAAUGGGCGAAAGCCUGAUCCAGCCAUGCCGCGUGUGUGAAGAAGGCCUUCGGGUUGUAAAGCACUUUCAGUGGGGAAGAAAGCCUUGGGGCUAAUACCCUCGAGGAAGGACAUCACCCACAGAAGAAGCACCGGCUAACUCCGUGCCAGCAGCCGCGGUAAUACGGAGGGUGCGAGCGUUAAUCGGAAUUACUGGGCGUAAAGCGCGCGUAGGCGGUCUAAUAAGCCGGUUGUGAAAGCCCCGGGCUCAACCUGGGAACGGCAUCCGGAACUGUCAGGCUAGAGUGCAGGAGAGGAAGGUAGAAUUCCCGGUGUAGCGGUGAAAUGCGUAGAGAUCGGGAGGAAUACCAGUGGCGAAGGCGGCCUUCUGGACUGACACUGACGCUGAGGUGCGAAAGCGUGGGUAGCAAACAGGAUUAGAUACCCCGGUAGUC
rnacentral:rRNA from 1 species